rnacentral:rRNA from 1 species
CCCGCACAAGCGGUGGAGCAUGUGGUUAAUUCGAUGCAACGCGAAGAACCUUACCUGGACUUGACAUCCCAGGAAUUCCCUGGAAACAGGGAAGUGCCCUUCGGGGAGCCUGGUGACAGGUGGUGCAUGGUUGUCGUCAGCUCGUGUCGUGAGAUGUUGGGUUAAGCCCCGCAACGAGCGCAACCCCUACGUUUAGUUGCUAACGCGUGAAGGCGAGCACUCUAGACGAACUGCCGUUGACAAAACGGAGGAAGGUGGGAUGACGUCAAAUCAUCAUGCCCCUUAUGUUCUGGGCUACACACGUGCUACAAUGGCCGGUACAGACGGACGCAAAGCCGCGAGGUGGAGCAAAUCCUAAAAAGCCGGUCUCAGUUCGGAUUGCAGGCUGCAAUUCGCCUGCAUGAAGUCGGAAUCGCUAGUAAUCGCAGGUCAGCAUACUGCGGUGAAUACGUUCCCGGGCCUU